rnacentral:rRNA from 1 species
UGAACGCUGGCGGCGUGCCUAAUACAUGCAAGUCGAGCGAACGGACGAGAAGCUUGCUUCUCUGAUGUUAGCGGCGGACGGGUGAGUAACACGUGGAUAACCUACCUAUAAGACUGGGAUAACUUCGGGAAACCGGAGCUAAUACCGGAUAAUAUUUUGAACCGCAUGGUUCAAAAGUGAAAGACGGUCUUGCUGUCACUUAUAGAUGGAUCCGCGCUGCAUUAGCUAGUUGGUAAGGUAACGGCUUACCAAGGCAACGAUGCAUAGCCGACCUGGGAGGGUGAUCGGCCACACUGGAACUGAGGCACGGUCCAGACUCCUACGGGAGGCAGCAGUAGGGAAUCUUCCGCAAUGGGCGAAAGCCUGACGGAGCAACGCCGCGUGAGUGAUGAAGGUCUUCGGAUCGUAAAACUCUGUUAUUAGGGAAGAACAUAUGUGUAAGUAACUGUGCACAUCUUGACGGUACCUAAUCAGAAAGCCACGGCUAACUACGUG